rnacentral:rRNA from 1 species
AAGUCCCGCAACGAGCGCAACCCUUGUUUUUAAUUAUUUCUUAAAAAGACCGCUAGUUAUAAGCUGGAGGAAGGUAAGGAUGACGUCAAGUCAGCAUGCCCCUUACACUCUGGGCUACUCACGUGCUACAAUGGAAGAGACAAAGAGCCUUUUGCUACCUCGCGAGAGCAAGCUUAAUCUCAAAAACUCUUUCUUAGUUCGGAUUGCAGGCUGCAACUCGCCUGUAUGAAGCUGGAAUCGCUAGUAAUCGCAAAUCAGCUAUGUUGCGGUGAAUACGUUCCCGGGUCUUGUACACACCGCCCGUCACACCAUGGAAGUAGGAUUUACCCGAAAUCAUUAUUUUAACCGUUUGGAAAAAGGUGCUUAAGGUAAGUUUUGUAACUGUGGUGAAGUCGUAACAAGGUAAUCCUACUGGAAGGUGGGGUUGGAU